rnacentral:tRNA from 1 species
UCCCUGGUGGCUCAAAGGGUAAAGAGUCUGCCUGCAAUGCAGGAGACCCAGGUUCAAUUCCUGGGUGGGGAA